UGGGGAAUAUUGCACAAUGGGCGCAAGCCUGAUGCAGCCAUGCCGCGUGUAUGAAGAAGGCCUUCGGGUUGUAAAGUACUUUCAGCGGGGAGGAAGGGAGUAAAGUUAAUACCUUUGCUCAUUGACGUUACCCGCAGAAGAAGCACCGGCUAACUCCGUGCCAGCAGCCGCGGUAAUACGGAGGGUGCAAGCGUUAAUCGGAAUUACUGGGCGUAAAGCGAACGCAGGCGGUUUGUUAAGUCAGAUGUGAAAUCCUCGGGCUCAACCUGGGAACUGCAUCGGAAACUGGCAAGCUUGAGUCUCGUAGAGGGGGGUAGAAUUCCAGGUGUAGCGGGGAAAUGCGUAGGGAUCUGGAGGAAUACCGGUGGGGAAGGCGGCCCCCUGGACGAAGACUGACGCUCGGGUGCGAAAGCGUGGGGAGCAAACAGG
rnacentral:rRNA from 1 species